rnacentral:rRNA from 1 species
AUAUCAAUAAGCGGAGGAAAAGAAACUAACAAGGAUUCCCCUAGUAACUGCGAGUGAAGCGGGAAAAGCUCAAAUUUAAAAUCUGGUGGUUCUUGCAGCCAUCCGAAUUGUAAUUUAGAGAAGUGUUAUCCGCGCUGGACCGUGUAUAAGUCUCCUGGAAUGGAGCGUCAUAGAGGGUGAGAAUCCCGUCUUUGACACGGACUACCAGGGCUUUGUGAUGCGCUCUCGAAGAGUCGAGUUGUUUGGGAAUGCAGCUCAAAAUGGGUGGUAAAUUCCAUCUAAAGCUAAAUAUUGGCGAGAGACCGAUAGCGAACAAGUACCGUGAGGGAAAGAUGAAAAGAACUUUGGAAAGAGAGUUAAACAGUAC